CCUACGGGAGGCAGCAGUGGGGAAUAUUGGACAAUGGGGGAAACCCUGAUCCAGCGACGCCGCGUGAGUGAAGAAGUAUUUCGGUACGUAAAGCUCUAUCAGCAGGAAAGAAAAUGACGGUACCUGACUAAGAAGCCCCGGCUAACUACGUGCCAGCAGCCGCGGUAAUACGUAGGGGGCAAGCGUUAUCCGGAUUUACUGGGUGUAAAGGGAGCGUAGACGGCAGCGCAAGUCUGGAGUGAAAUGCCGGGGCUCAACCCCGGUAGUGCUCUGGAAACUGUGAAGCUGGAGUGCAGGAGAGGUAAGCGGAAUUCCAGGUGUAGCGGUGAAAUGCGUAGAUAUCAGGAGGAACACCAGCGGCGAAGGCGGCUUACUGGACUGUAACUGACGUUGAGGCUCGAAGGCGUGGGGAGCAAACAGGAUUAGAUACCCGAGUAGUC
rnacentral:rRNA from 1 species